rnacentral:rRNA from 1 species
CUAUGGGCGGCAGCAGUGAGGAAUUUUGGUCAAUGGGGGAAACCCUGAACCAGCGACGCCGCGUGUGGGAUGAAGGGGCUUUGCCCUGUAAACCACUGUUGGGAGGGAAGAAAAGCUUUUUGAAAAGCUGGGGCUGUACCUCUUUAGAAAGGAUCGGCUAACUACGUGCCAGCAGCCGCGGUAAUACGUAGGAUCCAAGCGUUGUCCGGAAUCACUGGGUAUAAAGGGUGCGUAGGCGGGCUUGUGCGUCAGAGGUUAAAUCCCACGGCUCAACCGUGGAUCUGCCUUUGAUACGGCAAGUCUUGAGUGUGAGAGAGGAUGGUAGAAUUCCUGGUGUAGCGGUGAAAUGCGUAGAUAUCAGGAGGAAUACCAGUGGCGAAGGCGGCCAUCUGGCUCAUUACUGACGCUGAGGCACGAAAGCGUGGGGAGCAAACAGGAUUAGAUACCCCAGUAGUC